rnacentral:rRNA from 1 species
UACGGGGGGGGCAAGCGUUGUUCGGAAUUACUGGGCGUAAAGGGCUCGUAGGCGGCCAACUAAGUCGGACGUGAAAUCCCUCGGCUUAACCGGGGAACUGCGUCUGAUACUGGAUGGCUUGAGUGUGGGAGAGGGAUGCGGAAUUCCAGGUGUAGCGGUGAAAUGCGCAGAUAUCAGGAGGAACACCAAUGGCGAAGGCAGCUCGCUGGAACGGUACUGACGCUGAGGCGCGAAAGCGUGGGGAGCGAACGGG